rnacentral:rRNA from 1 species
UACGUAGGCAGCGAGCGUUGUUCGGAGUUACUGGGCGUAAAGCGUGCGUAGGCGGUGGUCCAAGUCUGGUGUGAAAUCUCCCGGCUUAACUGGGAGGGUGCGCCGGAAACUGGGCUGCUGGAGUGCGGGAGAGGUAAGCGGAAUUCCCGGUGUAGCGGUGAAAUGCGUAGAUAUCGGGAGGACCCCCUGCGGUGUGGCCGGCUUACUGGACCGCCACUGACGCUGAGGCACGAAAGCGUGGGUAGCAAACAGG